rfam:Schistosoma rodhaini strain Burundi genome assembly, scaffold: SROB_scaffold0000804
AUUCAGCUGAUGAGUCCCAAAUAGGACGAAAUGGUGCGCGUUCAACUGGAU